rnacentral:lncRNA from 1 species
CCUGUAUCUUAGCCUCGUACACAUACAGCUGAUAUUUAAAGACACUAAACAGUUAUUGUCUAUAUGUUUUCUAUGUUUUAAAAAUUUAUGCAUACGGGUUCAUAAUUUUAUUCUCCUCAAAAACAUUUUUGUAAAAAAAAAUCAAUUGUGUGCAUUUUAACCAAAAACUGAAUAAUUCGCGUCUGAAACACAAAUUAAAACAAAGCUAUCAAAUCAAAUUGGAAUUAUGGGUAAUAUGAGAACACAACGGGUGCCACAUGUGGAACAGGAUAUGCUUACCCUUCCGGAACACUUGAGAUCACCCAAGUUUUUGGUGGGGUUUGUGUUGCUCAGUCCUUGUUUCCUAUGUUGUGUUCUGUGAACUAUUUUUUGUCUGUUUAUCUAUUUCUUUUUUUAUCCAUGGCGAUGUUAGUUUAUUUUCGAUUUGUGAGUUUGAAUGUCCCUCUAAUAUCUGCUAUCUUUUGAUGUUUGGCAGUAAUUACUGAAAAGCUGUAUGUUUAGUAAAACGGCGAAGACGGAAUCAUGUACUUUUCAAGUAAGUUACUCACGUGCAUGCGAUAACUUAACAAAGGUUAAGGGACUUUUAUUCUGAAAAUGAUCCUAGUAAGAUCAGUUUCACAUUUAACGGCGCAUAUCUAAUCUAAAAAUCCGAGCUAUUAAAUCACGCGAUAAUUCCCGAAAGUUCACUAAAUUGUUGAGGAUUACGAUUGAUAAGCAGUGACCAUGCAG